AUACGGAAGGUGCAAGCGUUAAUCGGAAUCACUGGGCGUAAAGCGCUCGUAGGUGGCUUUGUAAGUCAGGUGUGAAAGCCCACGGCUCAACCGUGGAAUUGCACUUGAUACUGCAUUGCUUGAGUUCGGGAGAGGGUAGUGGAAUUCCAGGUGUAGGAGUGAAAUCCGUAGAGAUCUGGAGGAACACCAGUGGCGAAGGCGUUUACUACCUGGACCGAUACUGACACUGAGGAGCGAAAGCGUGGGGAGC
rnacentral:rRNA from 1 species